UGCUUAAAGCUCAAUCUUAAGAAACCGUUUGCAUCAAAUUGUUAGAAGAUGAAAGAUUGGAGGACUUCACAUUUCGAAGAUCAUGGAAAUAUUGAUCACUAUUAGGAAAAUAAUAAAACAAUAAAUCAUUAUUUUCAAGAACAUGGGAUCAUCAAUUAUUAUUAUGCUACACGUGGAUUAUUAUUACAAUAAUUGGUGAGAACAUGGAAUCAUCAAUUAUCGUUUCUUAAUAAAUUGUACAGGCUUCAAUCACCUACAAAUGUCACUCCUCCAAUUAUUUAACACUACAAUUCCUACAAGCGUGGGUCGAGUUUGGCUGAAAAAUAAUGGAAUUGAGAAAAUACAGCUAAAAAUGGACACGGGUAUUCACGUGGUUCACCCAAUUUAGACUACGUCCAUGGACAAGUAUAGGAGGAUUUUGCUCUAGUAGGAGAAUUACACCACACUCGCUAAAUACAAGGAAAUAACAACAAUUAAUCUAUCUUGUAAUUAGGAGAAAACAAGUAGGAAAUACUCUCUUAAUUUUCUCUCUACUCAAUUUGCUUUCUACAAAUUUUUCC
rnacentral:lncRNA from 1 species